UGCAAAAGUUGAGUUCUUUAUAUAUGAGGUGCCUAAUUGUUAUGAGUUUUAAAUUGAAAGUCCUUAUGUGACAAUUAUUCCUUUAAUAAGUUAGUGAAUGGAUAUUUGUUUGGUAUUUUUGAAAUUUGGUUGAAAUAAAAAGGGUAAUUUUGUAAAUUAAUUAAAAUAACCUAAUAAGACAAAUGAUAAAAGCUAUCAUUUUUUUUCAUUCUUUCUUCUUCAACCGUGGGAAAGAACAGAAAAUAGCAGCCAUGGAUGAGCUCCAUUCGGCCAAGCUUUUAUGGCUUAUAUAGAGUUUCCAGGUUAGCUCGGGUUGGAGGCCAUCAGAGAUAUUAUCACCCUAUCGAGUUAACGUUAUCGGAGUAAGUAAACUCAAGUGAUUCGAGUCUAUGGCAUGUAUAGGGUUUUAAUGUGAGUAUGUAAUAUUAUGAUUUAGCCAAAGGCAUUGGCUUGUUAUUAAGGUAGUAUUAGUCAUGUAAAUUGGCCUAUGUCGGCUAAUGACAUUAUGGGCCCAUAUGAUUAUUCUUAUGCAUGUAUGUUAUUAUCUCUUGUGAUGUGGCUUACAACAUGUAUACCUAGAGAUUGAAUUGAGAUUCAUUGAUGAGCUAGUAACUAAUGCAGGAUUAAGUGAUUGGUAAAUAGUUAAUAA